ACCGCCACCCCCGCCACCACCACCACCACCACCACCACCACCACCACCACUGGCUGGCGACGCAGAGCAGUGUGGAUGGUGAAGUGGUAGUGAGCGCUGCUACUGACGAAGGUCAGGAGGCGGAAAGCUCAAGCCUGAAAAGUGUGAAAUAUUUCGUUACUCCUCUCUCACUGCUUCCACCACCACCACUUCACCACCGCCUAGCCUUCAUCUUCCGAUCUCGGAACCUUUUCAAAAUAAUCGGGAUGCGGCACAGAAGCGUUGCAGAAUAGAGUGUCUUUUUAGAUAAUCUGAUCACUCUGACUUAUUCAUUUUCUUUUUUUUUUUUUAAUCGCUUCAUGGUGGACGGAAAGAAGUGUGCGCCGUGAGGGAAUCGGUGAGGGCGAGGGUGAGAGAGCGACGCGUGGCUCACGACCUGGGAGAGCCGAGGCCAUGGCGUUACCAAGAGAAAGAGAAUUGGUAGCACGCCUGUCCUUCCUGCUAACCUGCCUGCUUCUGAGUACAGGCGGCGUCAGAAGCACACUGAUUGGAGAGGAACCAAUUACGGACAUUGAGGUAAACGGAGCAAGCGGCGGAGCAGGAGUGGAGGCAACGGAAGAUGUACUCAGGGGGGAGGAGGGCGUGGUGGUGGCUGAGAACGGCACCACGGAGGCUGUGAUACUGGACUGCCCUUACGAGCUGGAUAGGAAUGACGCCGUUGGUCUCUACGUCAAAUGGUUCUAUCACCAGUACCGCCCGAUUCUUGUGUACCAGUGGAUCUUUGACCGUAAACCCGAGGCCAUAUCGGUGCUGAGGGGCCGUGUGGACCUGACAUACGAGGCCUCUGAAGUGGACAUCUAUCGCUACCGUGCCAUCCGUAUCAUGAAACCCACCACAGACAUCGCCGGCCAUUACAAGUGUGAAGUCGCCUCAAACACAGUGGAGAGCAACUUCCCUCGAGAUCUCGUCGUGUUUAAGAAUCCAAGCGUCCUAGACGUGCAAGCCGAGGCGACAGGGGAAGACCAGGUAAAUGUCACGUGCCAGGUGGAGGAGGUGUUCCCGCAGCCUGUCCUCUUUCUAUACAAGAAGUCCGCGUCCAAAGACAGUGAGAUGCUGAGGGGAGUCACCCAGGUUACAUCCUUCAUGGACAGCACUUACAACAUGCACAUAGAGAAGGUGGUGGAUGAGGCAACACUGGAUGGCCUUACUGAGUUUGAGUGUGUCAUGGGCAUCCCCAAGACAAGGGUGAAGAGGAGCACUUCCACCAAGUACCAGCCCAGAGUGUCCGUCACAACUGGUGCUGUGACUCAAGGCAGCAACACACAGCGGGCCUCAGCGGUGCUCCUGCUUGUGCUCUCCUUCCUCACCUGUCUGCUGUACGGUUGAGGGCUUCCCUUCAUAGCGUCUAAUGGUGAGCCCUCUCCCAGUGCCCUGGUGCUUCUCUAAUGGGUUGAAGAGUGAGCUGCUGUGAGAACCCCAAGAUGAUUAGAUCAAGUCUUCCUCUAGCAUACUUUUAUACAUAUUCUAUACAGUUAUAUUUAUCACAACUUUACCAUAAUCCUCUUCCUAUAUAGAAUGCAAGAUGGUAAUUUCUUUGAGUUUGGCAUGUACAGUAUUCAGAAAUGCUUUGUUUUCUCACCACGAAUGUCUUCAUUAGUUGUGGUGAAGUGGUACAGGUUGUUCAUGGUGUUUUUAUGUAUCUAAUGACAGAGUAACAAUAUAAUUUCUACUACACUACUAACAGGAGAUAUAUGCCUGAGAACCUGACCAAUCAUCUCUGUGGCCUUGAAGACUGUCGUGGUGAGAGAGCAAGUGUUUCUGAAUAUGUGCUUAUUUAAAUGUACACAAGGAUUAACAUAUGCAAUGAUAAGGACAUUCAAGUCAGAGUGUUGUGUAAAAUAGUUCCCACUGUUGGCCAUGACUUACUGAGGGAGGGUAAGUCUCCUUCAGAUGGCUCUGUGGCAGGACACUAUCACUAGAACAUAUAUAUACUUGUACAUUAUUCAUGGUUUAAUUUCUAUAUAUUUUUACCUCCUUGCUGUGGUGAAUUACGUAACAGUGUACAUGGAAACCUUACGUGUCUUUGUAUCAUCUAGUCAAGUGGUUAUCUCUCCGUGCCAUUCAGCUUAUAUCUGCCAAAUAACGAGUCCCUCCAAUGAGCAGCCAGAUGCAAUAUAUCCCUCUGAGGGCAGCUGUGAUACUGCUUCACAAGGCACCAGCCAACUGACUUAGAAAACAACAAUUUUGUAAUAUAAUAGGACAAUUGUGAUCACAGCAAGGCGGGCAACAAAGCUUUAUGGUGUGGUUAUAUUGCCAGCUAGCAAUGUUCCUUGUGCCCAGACCUAAAGUUGCUUCUCUCUGCCCGUUUUUCCCACUCACCACCUAUGUCACACUGAGAGUUGUGGUGACAACCUUACAUAACUAUUGAGCAAUGGAGUGUGGUGACAUGUACUUAAAAUCUACGAGAUUGUCAUGUUGUCCUCCUGGAAUGUAGAUACUAUGAGAGAAACCUUGUAGUAAUGGUAGUGAAAGGGUAAGGGUGAGGAUGUGUGCAGAUCUGAGUCUCUCCCCGCAACCCCUGCAAUGUAUCACAGAACCCUGAAAUGUCUUUGCCUUAAGCUGGUGUCCCUCCUCUGAUACACAGUGAAGUGGUGCACAAGUAUUCUUACUAUACCUUAGGAUCAUUUCUUUCAUACCAAUUGGUGCAAGAGUAAUAUAAGAGUAAAAAUUGUAGCUUAGAUAUUUUGUCUUUCAACCUUCAAGCUAGUAAAUUUGUGAUAGAUUUCUACUUACAAAACAUUAUUUAGCAUAUAGGAAUAACUUCAAAAUGGUGCAUUAUAACAAAUGAUGACUAAAUGUACAACAGCUUAUAAUUACAUAUGUGAGUACAAUAGAUACUGUCAAAACAAUGUGAGCUUAAAGAGUGUUGUCACCUGAUCAGUCACUCCAUCCACACCAGUCAACAUGCAAAUGAAUGGCAGACAUGAACAACAUAGCUUUAAAUGAUAAUAAAGUGUUAUUUUGUUUUCCA